CUGAGCGACACGCCAGAGGCUCCGGUUCUCCGCCGGGGGGGCGCCUCGCCGCCUCCCCUCCGCCGUGCGGUGUCCCGGGAGUGGAAGCGCCCGGGCGGGCUGACUCAGGGUCUCAUAGUGGAGUGAGACUGUUUGGCCCCACCCCCAGGUCCGGGGAGUGGCGGGCCCUGAGGAUGGGCAUGUCUUACAAGUUCCCUGGUGAUGCUGUUGCUGCCAGUCCUGGGAACCACUGCUCUGACAAUAACUGGGGCAGCUUGGUGUCCGUCAACCAGGGAAUGGUAAGCAAACUGGCUAACCCACAUCGUGGGAUGCUACACUGCAGUGCACAUGAGUGAACUAAUGAUACAUGCAACAACCUGGAAGAAUCUCAACGCAUGCUGAGCAAAAUCAAACUGGACACAAAAAGUAACCUGCUGUAAUGAUGCCAUUGGUCCUAGAAUCUGCUGCAUUGCUGGUGCGGGUCACCCCUGGCCUGGGCCGGCUGGCAGUCGAUGGAGGAGGCCAGCCUCACAGCUGACACUGUGCGCAUCCUCUCCUCUCCCCCGCCCACCGAGCACCUCCCAGACAACUACCCUCCAAAGUGGGCAGCAUCUUCAGCCUCACGGAAUUCUGAAGCAGAGUCUGAGAGCCAAAGAAUGGGAGAAUCAUGAAAUGUCACUGCUUUCAGGAAGCUCAUCUAUUCCUGUUAUUUUCCCAACUUAUUUGCUUAAUUAUUAGCAGUGGAACCCAGAACCCCCACCCACCUCACUUUCUUCCAAAAUAAUAAAUAAUGCGUUGAUUACAUUGA